UUUCAGACCCAGUCAUGUGACCCGGUCAUGUGACUAACCUGUCGGAGAUGUUCCUCCAGAUGUUUUUUUUUUAACAUAAGAACUUCGGACCUGUUUGGUUCUUCCUCUAUCAGAACUUUGGACCUGUUUGGUUCUUCUUCUAUCAGAACUUUGGACCUGUUUGGUUGCUCACAUGUUGGAGGAAGAUGACUGAACCUGGAUUUAGACUGGAGGCGGUCUAGACUGACCUUCGGCCUGUUUUAUCUAGAAUGACUAAAGUCCAGUUUCAGCAGAGUUCUGAACCAUACCCAGACUGGGAGGUGGAGGUUUACUUUAGCAGGACACGGCUGGUGCCACACCCGUUUUCAUUUACACAGGUGUACAAAGUCAACAGCAGGACCUGAAUGUUGUCAGGUGACGUCGAUAAAAGCAGGAAAACUUUGAUCAGGUUGAAGUUCACCGACUCUGAGGGACAAGAGGAACCAGGAGGACUCUGAGCUGGACUGAACUAGACUCUGAGACUGAGCUGGACUCAGAGACAAAGGACAGAAACAUGAAAACCCACCAGAGAUGAUGGAAGAAAUAAAGACACGAGAGACGAAAGAUUCUGGUCCAGAUGAGUUUUUUUGUUAAGUGUUGUGAUGACAAGUUGUGAAUUCGCUCUUUAUAAAUAAAGAUUGAUCAGUGAUUUUGUAA